AGAAUGAAGUGGUGGAAGAGGGAAAGAGAAAGGAGGGUUUGAUGAUGAGGAGAUUGAGAUCCGAUCAGCUUGUUUUUUUUGUUUUUGUUUUUGUUUGUUUUUUGUUUUUGUUUUUGUGUUAGAAAAAGAGAUGUGAAG
rnacentral:ribozyme from 14 species